CAAAAAGUAUUUAAAAUAUGUGGAUUAUAUAUAGACUCAGCAGAAGAAGCUAAUUGAGACUCUUUCGCUAGUGUAGAAAAUAAAUUUCGCGGAACAUAUCUGCAAACACUUAAACCAAAUGAACUACUAGUCGCUUUACGCGUGGAAUUGGUGGCCUCAGCAGGAAGCUCAGUUAAUUUAGGGAGUUUGUAGUUUGGAUUUAAAGAUAAGAUAUCCCAUCUUUUGUCCAAGUCAACAAGCUCGACGCCCGUAUAGGAGUCAUACCUAGCAAAA